rnacentral:rRNA from 1 species
UACGUAGGGUGCGAGCGUUGUCCGGAAUUAUUGGGCGUAAAGAGCUCGUAGGCGGUCAGUCGCGUCUGCUGUGAAAACUCGGGGCUUAACCCCGGGCCUGCAGUGGGUACGGGCUGACUAGAGUGCGGUAGGGGAGACUGGAAUUCCUGGUGUAGCGGUGAAAUGCGCAGAUAUCAGGAGGAACACCGGUGGCGAAGGCGGAUCUCUGGGCCAUUACUGACGCUGAGGAGCGAAAGCGUGGGGAGCGAACAGG